CAGUAGCCACGGUAAUACGUAGGGUGCGAGCGUUAAUCGGAUUUACUGGGCGUGAAGCGUGCGCAGGCGGCCCGUUAAGACAGGUGUGAAAUCCCUGGGCUCAACCUAGGAAUUGCGCUUGUGACUGGCGGGCUCGAGUACGGUAGAGGGGGGUGGAAUUCCUGGUGUAGCAGUGAAAUGCGUAGAGAUCAGGAGGAACACCGAUGGCGAAGGCAGCCCCCUGGGCCUGUACUGACGCUCAUGCACGAAAGCGUGGGGAGCAAACAGGAUUAGAUACCCCGGUAGUCCCUGUCUCUUAUAC
rnacentral:rRNA from 1 species